rnacentral:rRNA from 1 species
UUACCGAGUUUACAACUCCCAAACCCCUGUGAACAUACCUUAUGUUGCCUCGGCGGAUCAGCCCGCGCCCCGUAAAAAGGGACGGCCCGCCGCAGGAACCCUAAACUCUGUUUUUAGUGGAACUUCUGAGUAUAAAAAACAAAUAAAUCAAAACUUUCAACAACGGAUCUCUUGGUUCUGGCAUCGAUGAAGAACGCAGCAAAAUGCGAUAAGUAAUGUGAAUUGCAGAAUUCAGUGAAUCAUCGAAUCUUUGAACGCACAUUGCGCCCGCCAGUAUUCUGGCGGGCAUGCCUGUUCGAGCGUCAUUUCAACCCUCAAGCCCAGCUUGGUGUUGGGAGCUGCAGUCCUGCUGCACUCCCCAAAUACAUUGGCGGUCACGUCGAGCUUCCAUAGCGUAGUAAUUUACAUAUCGUUACUGGUAAUCGUCGCGGCCACGCCGUUAAACCCCAACUUCUGAAUGUUGACCUCGGAUCAGGUAGGAAUACCCGCUGAACUUAAGCAU